GAUUAAAGAUUUAUCGGUGAUGGAUGGGGAUGCGUCUGAUUAGCUUGUUGGCGGGGUAACGGCCCACCAAGGCGACGAUCAGUAGGGGUUCUGAGAGGAAGGUCCCCCACAUUGGAACUGAGACACGGUCCAAACUCCUACGGGAGGCAGCAGUGAGGAAUAUUGGUCAAUGGGCGAGAGCCUGAACCAGCCAAGUAGCGUGCAGGAUGACGGCCCUAUGGGUUGUAAACUGCUUUUAUAAGGGAAUAAAGUGAGAGUCGUGACUCUUUUUGCAUGUACCUUAUGAAUAAGGACCGGCUAAUUCCGUGCCAGCAGCCGCGGUAAUACGGAAGGUCCGGGCGUUAUCCGGAUUUAUUGGGUUUAAAGGGAGCGUAGGCCGGAGAUUAAGCGUGUUGUGAAAUGUAGACGCUCAACGUCUGCACUGCAGCGCGAACUGGUUUCCUUGAGUACGCACAAAGUGGGCGGAAUUCGUGGUGUAGCGGUGAAAUGCUUAGAUAUCACGAAGAACUCCGAUUGCGAAGGCAGCUCACUGGAGCGCAACUGACGCUGAAGCUCGAAAGUGCGGGUAUCGAACAGGAUUAGAUACCCUGGUAGUCCGCACGGUAAACGAUGGAUGCCCGCUGUUGGUCUGAAUAGGUCAGCGGCCAAGCGAAAGCAUUAAGCAUCCCACCUGGGGAGUA
rnacentral:rRNA from 1 species